rnacentral:rRNA from 1 species
CCUACGGGAGGCAGCAGUGGGGAAUAUUGCACAAUGGGCGCAAGCCUGAUGCAGCAACGCCGCGUGCGGGAUGACGGCCUUCGGGUUGUAAACCGCUUUCAGUUCCGACGAAGCGCAAGUGACGGUAGGAACAGAAGAAGGACCGGCCAACUACGUGCCAGCAGCCGCGGUGAUACGUAGGGUCCGAGCGUUGUCCGGAAUUAUUGGGCGUAAAGGGCUUGUAGGCGGUUUGUCACGUCGAAAGUGAAAACUCAGGGCUUAACCCUGAGCCUGCUUCCGAUACGGGCAAACUAGAGGGAUGCAGGGGAGAAUGGAAUUCCUGGUGGAGCGGUGGAAUGCGCAGAUAUCAGGAGGAACACCGGUGGCGAAGGCGGUUCUCUGGGCAUUUCCUGACGCUGAGAAGCGAAAGCGUGGGGAGCAAACAGGCUUAGAUACCCUGGUAGUCCACGCCGUAAACGGUGGGCACUAGGUGUGGGGAACAUUCCACGUUCUCCGUGCUGAAGCUAACGCAUUAAGUGCCCCGCCUGGGGAGUACGGCCGCAAGGCUAAAACUCAAAGGAAUUGACGGGGGCCCGCACAAGCGGCGGAGCAUGCGGAUUAAUUCGAUGCAACGCGAAGAACCUUACCUGGGUUUGACAUAUGCCGGAAAGCUACAGAGAUGUAGCCCCCGCAAGGUCGGUAUACAGGUGGUGCAUGGCUGUCGUCAGCUCGUGUCGUGAGAUGUUGGGGUUAAGUCCCGCAACGAGCGCAACCCUCGUCCUAUGUUGCCAGCGGAUAAUGCCCGGGG